rnacentral:rRNA from 1 species
AUUGAACGCUGGCGGCAGGCUUAACACAUGCAAGUCGAGCGGGGUGAUGGUGCUUGCACUAUCACUUAGCGGCGGACGGGUGAGUAAUGCUUAGGAAUCUGCCUAUUAGUGGGGACAGCAUCUCGAAAGGGAUGCUAAUACCGCAUACGUCCUACGGGAGAAAGCAGGGGAUCACUUGUGACCUUGCGCUAAUAGAUGAGCCUAAGUCGGAUUAGCUAGUUGGUGGGGUAAAGGCCUACCAAGGCGACGAUCUGUAGCGGGUCUGAGAGGAUGAUCCGCCACACUGGGACUGAGACACGGCCCAGACUCCUACGGGAGGCAGCAGUGGGGAAUAUUGGACAAUGGGGGGAACCCUGAUCCAGCCAUGCCGCGUGUGUGAAGAAGGCCUUAUGGUUGUAAAGCACUUUAAGCGAGGAGGAGGCUCUUUUGGUUAAUACCCGAGAUGAGUGGACGUUACUCGCAGAAUAAGCACCGGCUAACUCUGUGCCAGCCGCCGCCGUAA